ACAGUCCAGUAUUAGUGAGUCUUUAAGACAGAAGGAGAUCAGACCAAGAAAAGGGAGUUAAAAGUGGCUUACUAUUUGGCUUUGCAACAAUUGGAGUAAAGCCUUUUUUCCCCUGCAACAGUGGAUAUAGAAAAGAAAGAACUACAGCAAUCUCAUUCAAGAAAUAUGUUAAAAAUGCCAUCAGGGGACUCAGAAGGGUAGGUCAAAUGGAUCGUUUCAGCAGAGUCCCUGGCUCAGCCGAAUUUUCUGUCUCCAGGCCAGGGAAGAUCCUGAAGAUGAAACUCAAAAACUUUGGCCACCUAAUGAGAAGGAAGGACUCACUGGAGAAGUGCCUAAUGCUGGGAAACAUUGAGGGCAAAAGAAGAAGGGGAUGACAGAGAAUGGAUGGUAGAGGACAGAUUCCCCAUUUGACCUGAUUUGGGAUGCAACAAUCAACAUACAUCCAGAUGCUAUUUCCUACUCAAACCAUUAAUUGCCCCCAUACUGAAGCAAUGUACGAAGCCAGAGAGUGACAGAGAAUUACUCCAGCAAAUAAGAAUCUCCAGCAAAACAGUAACUGGAUAAAUGCAACUCACUAUAUCAUCAGCUAAUAGGUUUUCUUCAUCCUUAGGCACAUUUGUCCUUGCUGUUAAAUCAACAUUCAAGCCAAGAAUAAUCUGCUUUGACUCUUCAUAUAUAGCCAAAAUUCAAAGGAAACAUGAAUAAUGGUGACGGAUACUCCAUAUGCUAUUUAUCAAUAUCUGAAGUUCCAUAGGUAGCCUAACCAUGAACUAAGUUAUCUGAUUUUAUUUUGCACCUGCUGUGUCCAUAGAAAUGAUCAAAUCUUGAAAAGGAAGGGAAAAAUUAAAUAAUAGUCUAAAUAGGAGUUGAAGUAUAAUUGCUAAUAUGAGGAAACAAAAAUUGUAGAAAUGAAAGUGUGUACACUGGUAUUGUUAUGUAUAUAUGUAAAUAAAUAAAUAAAUAAAUAUUAGAAGUAUAUGUAUAAAAAUAUACUAGAAAAAAGGGAGAAAAAAUGUAUAAGUAUGAAAUUUUUGACUGAUGCGAAACAGUUGAAACAGAAAAAGUGUUAAAGCUUUCUUUUUGUUUUUAGAAAAAUGUUUAAUAAAAAUUAUUUUAAAAAAAGAAAAAAAUUAUCAAAUCUUGAAAUCACCGCCACCUCAGAAAUAUUUGAGCAAUUAGCCUACAAAAUCAUAAAAUGGUCUUGUCCUAUAUCUUAUUGAGCCAGGAAUUGUGUGAUAGGCAUUGGGUGCCAAUGACUUCAGCUAUUGAUAGCUAAUCUUACUUACCAGGCUAACAUAUACAUCAUAUAUAAUGCUGCCCAUAAUUGCAAGGCUAUGAGGAGUCUCAUGAAAGCUUGGUUAGAAUGCAGUAUUGUAGGCUAAUUCUGCCCACAGCCUGGAGUUUGAACCUGACAGGGCUUGAGGUUAACUCAACCUUCCAUCCUUCCAAGGUUGGUAAAAUGAGGACACAGAUUGUUGUAAGAGCAAUAUGCUGACAUUGUAAACCACCAGAGAGUGUUGUAAAACACUAUGGAUCUGUAUAUAAGUCUAAAUGUUAUUGUUAUUGCUACUAGCCCUUUAAUAAAAUGAGUUGAAAGAGUU